CAUCAAUCCAAUCAAAGCAUCCUUUCAUACUGGUCCAAGGAUUUGGAGCUCAGACCUCCAGGUUUCUCUGUCUCUUCCAUGUGCCUAGCGGAAAGUUGAUGUGGAUUCGGUCUGUGGACUGAGGAAAGAACCUUCAUUCCUUUGGACAUACCAUUGAGCACCUUACUCAGAAGUGGUUCUUAGAAAGUCCAGGGCUGAGCAAGUCCAUCUGGAUGUCACCAUGAGUGUUGAUAACUGUACCCUGAAUUACAUCUGUACCCACCACCCUCCUCCUCUAACUGCACCCAUCCCCAGGAUGGGCCCUGUAUUUCCCUGGAGACCUCACAGUGGGUGAAUAAGAUACUGACGCUUCCUUCUGACCCUCUCAGAUCUGUGUCCUGCCUGAGGACUCAUGCUUCAUGGCUUUUAUACUGAUGUUCACCUUUCCAGUUCAGGAAGUUCUUCACAGACAGCAGCACCACACUGUCACCCAGAGUUUUGUCUGCUUAUCUCCUGCAGUGACUCAUUUGCCCAGUGUUUGUCCUGGGAUCUGAUGAGCCUCUAUCCUGUGAGCAGUGUGUCACAUAGCGUCACAUCCUCCCUAUGAAAUAGGUACUGGAAUGAGUCCAUUCUCUUGGUGAGGAAGUGGCAUCACAGGAGCUGUUUUUGUUGGUAGCAGACACAUUGGGUGAUUGUGUGAACUCUCCCCACCCCCCUUUAAUGAUGAAGACUGGAAAAGCUAAAUAC